AUGGGACGACCUCUCAGUCGAUGGGGAGGGAGCGCGCUUUGUAUGGUGGCUUCAUCGACGAGACGAACGCCGUCCGUAGGAACCUCCAGGCCGUCAGGCUGUGCGGCGGGGGAGCGCACAGUGCCGGCCGUGUCGGCGAGGCCGUUCAGGGUGGCCGCGCCGGCUGUGUCGUCCGUCGAAGAAAACGCACACGGCGUUCAGGCCCAUGGAGGCGAGCGUCUGCUCGCCCUCGGCCGGGCGCUCGGACUUCAAAUAGAGAUGGACGCGGGGUUGGUCCCACUGUUCCUGUGCGCCACGGUCGGGACGACCCAGAUGACAGCCGUCGACCGCGUGGAAGAGCUGGGCGCCGUCGCAGCACCACACGGGGACGCCGCAUGCGCCGGCUCGGCGCUGGUAUGCCCCGAAUUCACCCGCGUGAUCGACGGCGUGGAGGCCGUGGAGUCGUUCAGUAUGAACGCGCCCACAAGUGGCUCGUCUCCAACAAGGCCAGGCAGCAACGACUGCUGCGCCGUGUGA
rnacentral:rRNA from 1 species